AGCACCGACAGCUGGCCCUGUGAGCCGGCCACUGGGAAAGCAGGCCCUCCAGGCCCAGUCAAGCCUUCUGAGGACAGCGAUCUCAUGAGAGACACCCCCCUAGACCAGAGCACCCAGCUAAGGCACUUCCAAAUUCCUGGCCCACAGAAAACACAAGCUGCCAAGGGAGCAGCUGGUAGUCUCAAGUCCCAUUUUACAGAUGGGCAAAUGGAGGAUCAGAGAGGCAGAAUGACUUACUGAGUCUUGGCUGGUCCAACUCCAAAUCCCCUGUAGCGGGGAGCCACCGAAGGUUCUGGGGGCCGAGCCUUGCAGAGCGAGCUGAGAGAGGAGGACUGGAGGGGUGAGAUGGAGGCUAGGAGACUGUGGCAGAGGCUGACACAGAGCUGCGCACGUGGAGAGGACAGUCGGGGGCCACUGCUUUGGGGAGAAAGUCUCGACUUCCGGGGGAUUGGGCCUCAUCUGUGAAGUGGCAUCUGCAGUGCCCCCGCCUCGUGGGGCUCUCACGAGGACUGAAGUUCUAACAGCGCCUGCUCAUGGGGGCCUCCCCUGCCUGGGCCCUGUACUGAGAACUGCACUUGCUUCUCGUCGCACUGAAUUCCUGCAGCCCCCUGUGAGGGUCGCGUUAUUUGAAAAGCCUCCUCCACCACACACAGCUAGGGAAGGGGCCUGGCCGCGGUGUCCUGGAAAUCGGGGCCUUUGCCCCAGCUGUCAUGUGACCGCGUGCCUGAAGCCCGGCUGAGUCAGGCCAGCCCAGCUCAAGGGACCUGCAGUGGCCUCUGAUGACCUCACCCACCUCCAGCCCACCUCUGGGCCACCUCUCGGGUCCCCCAUCCCUGUCUCUGUCCCAGCCUCAUCUCCCAGCCCCAGCUCCCUUCUAAGAGUGCCUCUUCCCUCUAGCCAGGCAGAGGGAUCUGAGCUUCCUGGAGGCCAAGAAGACAGGCUCGGUGCCAGGCGCCUCCUGCCAACCCCAGGGCACACCAAUUUUGGUCUCAAGGAAACCUCCCACUUGGAAGAAGUACCUGGAGUCGGCAGUGAGCUGAGGAUUUCCUUCCACUGCUGACUGAUGCAGCUCUAUCAGUCAUGGAAAUUGGCACAGGGUACAGCUGUUCGCAGCAGAACCACCGUUGGCAACAACGGCCUCAGCACAGAUAAGGGGUCCUUCGGAUCAUCGUAAUUAUUCCUCAGCAGUUCUCAGUCCUGGCUGCAUGUUAGAAUGAGGUGGGGAGCAGGUUAAAAUGCAGAUUCUCGCACCUGACACCAGACCAAAGGAAUCAAGUUUCAGGAAGUGGGUCCCCAGGAACAGCAUUUAAAAAACGCUUCCAAGGUGAGUCUGAUGCAUAGGCAGGGAUGAACCAUAUUCUAGAGAUUAUAAAACAGGGAAGGGGCUUCGCUGGUUUAGGAGGGUCAGGGAAUACUUCUCCGAGGGCGGGACCAAGCUUGAGCAAACUGACUGGGUAAGAAAGGGGAGGAAGAAGGUUCCCAGCAGAGGGGACAGUGGGCACCAACUCCUCAAGGCAGGAAGACACUCAACGGCAAGUUAAGGGAACGGAAAGGUCCCGGGUGGGCUGGAGCAAGGGCUAGCUGCCUCCUUGGGUUCUUCUUUGGUGGGGUUCAGGGGGUAGAUUUGAGACCGGGACCUUCCUGAGGGCGAAAUCUGUGCAAAGAGGCUCUUUCUUCCCAGAGAAAAGGGAGCAGCAAGGCCAAGGGAGGGGAAUAAAUUAAAAUCAACACGUGGGGACUUCCCUGGUGGCACAGUGGUUAAGAAUCCGCCUGCCAACGCAGGGGACACGGGUUCGAGUCCUGGUCCGGGAAGAUCCCACAUGCCGCAGAGCAACUAAGCCCGUGCACCACAACUACUGAGCCUGCACCCUAGAGCCCAUGAGCCGCAACUAGUGAGCCCAUGUGCCACAACUACUGAAGCCCACGUGCCUAGAGCCUGUGCUCCGCAACAAGAGAAGCCACCACAAUGAGAAGCCCGCUCACUGCAACAAAGAGUAGCCCCCGCUCUCCGCAACUAGAGAAAGCCCGCGCGCAGCGACGAAGACCCAAUGCAGCCAAAAAUAAGUAAAUAAAUAAAUUUAUAAAAAAUCAAAUCAAAUCAAAUCAGCAUGUGUCGGGCUGGGAGGCGUCCCACAAUCCGAUAACCCAAUGGGUUUUAAGUGUUUUUAAGU